rnacentral:lncRNA from 11 species
GCCUGGCUGACUUCUCCUCCCCUCUCGUGGCGUGUGCUUGGGACUUCAAUUCUCAAAAACCCCUCUUGUGGUUUUUUUUAUGUUAUGCUAAACUAGAAAAGAAAACAACAUUUCCCUAUCAGAGUUACUGAAAAAUAUAUUACUCUAAGGUCCAGAACC